CAUGGUUUUGCUGGCAUAGCACUCGUUUCUUGUGCUUCCUGGAAAGACAUGGCUAUUUCACACCCAAAAGGGACUACAGCAAACCAUGUGCUAUUGCAGUUUGUUGAAGUGUCUGAGGAGACAGCCCUUGCUGUGGCUAUUGCUGCAUUCAGAGAUUCCUUUGCAUGAGUGUGGAGCAGCUUCUUGCAGCAUCCUCUAGGGACCACGAUUUCGAAUGAAAACAAGAGCGAAAGGGAGCCAGAACUCAGUCCCUGCACCAGAACUGCAAGGGCUGUUUCUGAGCAGCUCGGCGAGGAGGACACGCUGUAUAAACAUGGUACCAGCGGGGUGUUUGGAAUGCUUCUUGCUCUGGACCUCUUCCCCACGGAGGAGGAGGCUGGAGGGGUGGGGGAGGCUGGGUCAUGGAGCAGAGGGCAGAGAGAAGACAGCUUCUCUUUUCUGCUUGCGUGUCCAAAUCUUCCCAGCUGAGGAGAGGAACUGGUGUGCGCUGGUCCUUUUAUUUAGCAUUCUCAUCUCUGCUUCCCCUUUCAUCCCCAUGUGUCAAACAGCUUGUAGGCUUUAUUUCAGGGGGCCAAGGAAUUUGAACUACAGGCCUAAAUACCUCAAGCAUCUUUUGAUAUACAGUCUUGAAGCAAAGUUCAGUGGUGUCUAGAGCCAGCACCCUGGUGCUGGUAGCUCAGAGCAGAGCUGGGGGCACAAAGCGGUUUGCAACAAUUUCUAGGCACUAUUUCGGUCUGAACUCACACAGAGCUCCUUGGUUUCCCGUUUGUGUUUAGCCAGAGAGGGAGAAGUUGUCUAAAAGCUGAGGUAUUAGAGCCCACGAGGGAGUACCUGCUGUUGGACCUGCUCUGGAGGGUGAGGAGGGAUCGUGCCAAAUGAAAGCGCAGUCCCUGGGGUUUGGCUGGCAAGGACUCAGUCCCUCCUGGGACUCAGCAAAGGCCCUGCACUUGACUGUACCACUACAUAGCUCAGACAUUUUUGCUCCUGCUUGGAUGAAAGAGCAGCAACUUCAGUCCUCUUCGUGGGUGACCUUCAGCAUGGCAAAUUACUCACUGAUGACGGCUGCUGGGAAGUGCGGCCACCACGGGCCGGGCCUUGGUACCGUAGAGGACCACAGCUACAUCAUGGUUUAUUCCUCACGAAUUUAGAUCCUCCCUUGGUUUCGCAGUGAGUGGCUUCUCACAGGGAAUAAUGGUCCCAAUGAAAGCCCAUUGAAGUCAAUGGGAGUCUUUCUGUUGACGUCAAUAAUUUUGGACCCGGUCCCAUGCAUACGGCCCUCCUGCUGAAGAGAAAUAAGCAGCAAAUCUUCUAUGUCUGCAUGAGGUAUUCUGUUGCAUCAUUCAUUGUCUAUAACCACAAUUCAGCUGUUUUUUUAUUGCAAAACUGACAACUGGAAACGUUUAAAAGGAAGGGAGGAGAAAGGGUUGACCAUGCCCUCUCUGCCCAGGGACAUGGCUGUUACCGUGACACAACGCGAUCUCAGGGAGGUCUCCUGGGCUCUGCCUUCUGCAGAGCCGAGCUCCUCCUUUUCAGAAGAGCCUCCAUUCACCCCAGGGCUCCGUGGUGACAGUCCAUCCUGGGAGAAUCUGGGUUAAAACAUCCACUGCUUUCACCCUCGGGGCAGGAGGCAUUGUUGGGGACUGAGAGGACUA
rnacentral:lncRNA from 1 species